rnacentral:rRNA from 1 species
UGGGGAAUUUUCCGCAAUGGGCGAAAGCCUGACGGAGUGACGCCGCGUGGGGGACGAAGGCCUUCGGGUCGUAAACCCCUGUCAGAGGGAAAGAAGGGUCUCGGCGUGAAUAGCGCCGGGAUCUGACGGUACCUUCAGAGGAAGCCCCGGCCAACUCUGUGCCAGCAGCCGCGGUAAGACAGAGGGGGCAAGCGUUGCUCGGAAUCACUGGGCGUAAAGGGCGCGUAGGCGGGAUGGCAAGUCAGUCGUGAAAUCCCUGGGCUCAACUCAGGGGGGUCGGCUGAUACUGCCGUUCUUGAGGGAUGCAGAGGAGACUGGAAUUCCCGGUGUAGCGGUGAAAUGUGUAGAGAUCGGGAGGAACACCGGGUGGCGAAGGCGGGUCUCUGGGCAUUCCCUGACGCUGAGGCGCGAAAGCGUGGGGAGCAAACGGGAUUAGAUACCCCGGUAGUCCACGCGGUAAACGAUGACGACUAGGUGUGGGGGGGUUAAGUCCCGUUCCGUGCCGCAGCUAACGCAUUAAGUCGU